rnacentral:rRNA from 1 species
AGAGUUUGAUCCUGGCUCAGAGUGAACGCUGGCGGUAGGCCUAACACAUGCAAGUCGAACGGCAGCACAGUAAGAGCUUGCUCUUACGGGUGGCGAGUGGCGGACGGGUGAGGAAUGCAUCGGAAUCUACUUUUUCGUGGGGGAUAACGUAGGGAAACUUACGCUAAUACCGCAUACGACCUACGGGUGAAAGCAGGGGAUCUUCGGACCUUGCGCGAUUGAAUGAGCCGAUGUCGGAUUAGCUAGUUGGCGGGGUAAAGGCCCACCAAGGCGACGAUCCGUAGCUGGCCUGAGAGGAUGAUCAGCCACACUGGAACUGAGACACGGUCCAGACUCCUACGGGAGGCAGCAGUGGGGAAUAUUGGACAAUGGGCGCAAGCCUGAUCCAGCCAUACCGCGUGGGUGAAGAAGGCCUUCGGGUUGUAAAGCCCUUUUGUUGGGAAAGAAAUCCAGCUGGUUAAUACCCGGUUGGGAUGACGGUACCCAAAGAAUAAGCACCGGCUAACUUCGUGCCAGCAGCCGCGGUAAUACGAAGGGUGCAAGCGUUACUCGGAAUUACUGGGCGUAAAGCGUGCGUAGGUGGUUGUUUAAGUCUGUUGUGAAAGCCCUGGGCUCAACCUGGGAACUGCAGUGGAAACUGGACGACUAGAGUGUGGUAGAGGGUAGCGGAAUUCCUGGUGUAGCAGUGAAAUGCGUAGAGAUCAGAGGACAUCCAUGGCGAAGCAGCUACCUGGACCAACACUGACACUGAGGCACGAAAGCGUGGGGAGCAACAGGAUUAGAUACCCUGGUAGU